rnacentral:lncRNA from 1 species
AGUCCUAAAAACAAAAUCUUCGCAUCCUUCUGCCACAAUCCUAGUGAUGCUAACACUCCGUAGAACCAAUCCAACACAAACAUCGCUUCUUCCUAUUUGAUAAUAGAAAACCACUCAGCUUCAGGCGUUCCUUCGAUCUCUUUUUCUGAGGUUCUGUUGCUUUGGUUUCCUUUGCUUAAUGUUUUAUGUUUCCAAGAGGCGUUCCAAUUUGUUGAUCUCUUUUUUCUGAGGUUCAGAGGUGGAAGGAGGUAUAAGUAUUUAUAUUAGGGGGUGAAGUUUGACUGGUUAAUGGUGGAACCUGUUGCACAUGAGGAAAGAUAAUAGGAACUGGAGACAAAGAUGGUGACUCGAAUUGGCCGGUUGCGUGUUUU